ACAUAUUUUCUGUUAUUGUUGGUGGUUCAAAAAGUAUUUUGUGUAAGUUCAUGGUGUUUGUCCUAUUGUGAAUUGUGAUUAUCGGUACUGCGAUAAAUUCAGAAUAGUGUAGUAAAUACCGUUUUGUCAAGAAAACAGUACUAAACCUACAUAACCUCACUUCUACAUGGAAUGCAGAAAAUGCAAUUUCUCAACACAGACAAAAUGAUGAAUGUCCGGGCGCAACCAAAAAAAAAAGAAGAAAUCGAGUUAGAAAUUGCGGGAGAUACGCAGAAAUUGGAUGAAUUGUUUCAGACUGAUAAUAAUGUUUAUUUGUCAGGAAGAGAAGACGUAAAAAAACAUGUAUGCAAUUUUGAAGAAAUUAUUAAUAAUGAACCAAAUUGCUUUCAAGUUUUCAGGGCAAGGAAAAAAAUAAGCUCUCUUUUAGUGAACUUACAAUUAACAAGGCUACAAUAUGUACCACACGAAAACGUCACAAAAACGCCACAACUACUGAAAUUUAAAAAAUGGUAGGACCUCAUUAAGCGCAGACAAAAGCAAGAAUGAAUUCUCAUCGAAAAAAACAUGAGGUAUGACU